UCACCGGCGCGUUAGGGGUAGGAGCGGAAAUCCUUUUUUGUUUUUCACAAAAAAGGUUGGAGCGGAUAGCCCGGCGCCAG
rnacentral:sRNA from 20 species